rnacentral:rRNA from 1 species
UACGUAGGGUGCGAGCGUUGUCCGGAAUUAUUGGGCGUAAAGAGCUUGUAGGCGGCCAAGCAGGUCCGUUGUGAAAACUGGAGGCUUAACCUCCAGACGUCGACGGAAACCGCGUGGCUAGAGUCCGGAAGAGGAGGGUGGAAUUCCUGGUGUAGCGGUGAAAUGCGCAGAUAUCAGGAAGAACACCAAUGGCGAAGGCAGCUCUCUGGGACGGUACUGACGCUGAGACGCGAAAGCGUGGGGAGCGAACAGG